CUUCACAUCUAAAAAAAAAUCAACAUCCUCUGUGAGAAAGAAAUUGUUACAUGAUUAAACACCUCUUUCUUAGCAAAACAGAAAGGGGGCAUAUGUGUGACAAACAUGA